rnacentral:sRNA from 1 species
CCAAUAACAUUAAACCAUAACACAAAUUCGAUUUCACAAAGUAAAAAAUUGAAAAUCAGCAUCCACACGUUUGGUAGAUUCAUCAUUGUUCGUUGCAACACACAAUCAAAACCACAUAAUAGCCAAUGUUUCAAAGAAGAUUCUGAAUUCGUAUCUCAAAUCAAAUCUUCAUUUUUGAGUUCAUAU